GACGAACGCUGGCGGCGUGCCUAAUACAUGCAAGUAGAACGCACAGUUUAUACCGUAGCUUGCUACACCAUAGACUGUGAGUUGCGAACGGGUGAGUAACGCGUAGGUAACCUGCCUGGUAGCGGGGGAUAACUAUUGGAAACGAUAGCUAAUACCGCAUAAUAUUAAUUAUUGCAUGAUAAUUAAUUGAAAGGUGCAAUUGCACCACUACCAGAUGGACCUGCGUUGUAUUAGCUAGUAGGUGAGGUAACGGCUCACCUAGGCGACGAUACAUAGCCGACCUGAGAGGGGGAUCGGCCACACUGGGACUGAGACACGGCCCAGACUCCUACGGGAGGCAGCAGUAGGGAAUCUUCGGCAAUGGACGAAAGUCUGACCGAGCAACGCCGCGGGAGUGAAGAAGGGUUUCGGAUCGUAAAGCUCUGUUGUAAGAGAAGAACGGGUGUGAGAGUGGAAAGUUCACACUGUGACGGUAGCUUACCAGAAAGGGACGGCUAACUACGUG
rnacentral:rRNA from 1 species